rnacentral:tRNA from 4 species
UCCUCAGUAGCUCAAUGGCAGAGCAUCCGGCUGUUAACCGGAGGGUUGUAGGUUCGAAUCCUACCUGAGGAGCCA